AUCGCUUCUCGGCCUUUUGGCUUCGAUCCCGUGCGGUUUACCGGGCGGGUUAGGAGUUGAAGGGGGUGGUGAUCGGGGCCCUCUUUUAAAUGGAUUUUUGAGAACGGGGGCCGAUUUCGAAGCUUGCUUCCGUCGCCCUAUGCAUUGACCCGAUAUGGCAGUAUCUUCGGGUACAGUGCACCACCC